GAUCCGGGCCGUGACUGGCGCUGAGGUGGACGACCACCGGGGAGCGGCCCGACAUCCGUCGAUGCCGCGCGCCUGGGCGACCCAC
rnacentral:ncRNA from 1 species